GCCUCCUGACUAGCUGGGAUUACAGGCGCCUGCCACUAUUCCCAAUGAAUUUUUGCAUUUUUAGUAGAAACAGGGUUUCUAUAUGUUGGCCAGAUUCAGAGUUUUGAAAGGCUGGUGGCCUUAUUCGUGUAGCUUAUCACUGCACCAAGCCACGUUCCUGAGACACGGUAGAUGCUUUACCUGGAGAAAAAGUGAACCAAUGAUGCUGUUUUGGCAGAAGCCAACUAGCGCCUCCCUAACUCCCGGCUUCUGCACCUGAAUGCAUAGCGGCCUGAGUGAGAGACCGUGGCAAAUAAUGACUCCGCAGACGAUCUGUGACUCAAUAUGUGCCCUGAGUGUCCUCAGUUCUCUGACGAGCAAAGCCAGACACCCGGCUCUUCUCAUCACUGUGUCUGAUCCCAUUGCUAGAAAGGCCUUGGGGAAUUUUGUGUUUUAGCGAUUUCACUGAGAAUAAAACCAAAAGCCUAGUUUCAUCGUUUGUACAGAAAAAUGGUACUGCUGACGUUAACCUUGUGAUUACAGGAUAAUUUCAAAAAUGGCUGUGGACCUUU